AUGCUAGCUCAAGGGAUUAUACAACCAAGCAAGAGCCCGUUCGCGUCCCCCGUGUUGUUGGUUCUCAAAAAAGAUGGAGAAUGGCGGUUCUGCGUCGAUUAUCGCCAUUUGAAUGCUAUUACCAUCAAGAGCCGGUUCCCUAUGCCAAUCAUCGAUGAGUUGUUGGAUGAGCUGACUGGAGCUGCGUGGUUCACUAGUCUUGACCUGCGUUCAGGCUACCACCAGAUUCGAAUGAGGCCAGAGGAUGAGGCCAAGACUGCCUUCCAAACACACCAUGGACACUAUGAGUUCAAAGUUAUGCCUAAUGGGGUGACUGGUGGUCCAUCUAGUUUCCAAAACGGCAUU
rnacentral:rRNA from 1 species